ACGACCUUACUUGAACAGGAUCUGUUCUAUAGGCUCGUACCGCCAGAGCGUGAUUAACUGCCAGGAUUCACCGGUGGCUCAGAGGUUGUCUGACAGACU
rnacentral:snoRNA from 16 species